GUGAUAUAAACACGCUUAUUCUCUUCGUGCACCUUAAACCCUAAUUUAAAUAUCCUAUCAUUCUGGCCGUUUCACUUCGUUUCGCAAAGAAGAUAUCGAUCGUUCAUCCCCACAAACCCGAAUUUCAUCAACAAUCAUCAGGCAUGAGCAUAAUUUGGUGUAAAUCUUUGAUUCUUGCUUCCAAUUUAUGAUUCUCGAGGUAACAUAGUUGGAUUCACACCCAUCUCGCAAAUCCGGAUCGUAUCAUUUUUCUCAAACGUACAAGCUAACUUCUCUCAAACCCUAAAUCCGAAGACGCCAUUCAUCUUCAGCCGUUCAUCAUUGAUUCAAGUUUGAUAAACAAAGAUUUCAAGAUCAAUUCUACAAGGAAUAACACAUGUAAAGACAUUGCAACAUCCGUUACUAAGAAACCCUAAAGGGAGAGAAGCUAUAUUUGUAUAUCAAGAAUAUGUGUUGAUACGGAUUAGGCAGGGAGGAUUAGGAGGUGGUGUUGCCUCAGGGGUUUUGUUGAAAGGGGAUGACAAAAGAAGACGGUAAUGAUUUUGUUUUCUGUUCAUGUGAGGGUGGGGAAUUCUCAGAUCCGCCAUUUAUGGUGGUCUUUUCCCAGCUGGUGGUAUUGUUCAAAUUGUUGUGGUGGCUGGAGGUGGGGCUUGGUUGAAUAAGAGAUAGAUAAAGCACCGAUUACAGAGACCUUGAGCACAAGGGGUUGCACUCCUUGGUGGAUUCCGUUUGUCUUCUACACGCGGAUUCUUUUGAGUCUGGCCCGGUUUAAUUCGAUAAUCUUCGUUGUGACAGUGGGCUGUUCAGAUGGAGCAGCGGCGGUCGCCAAAAAGUGACACCCGACGAUUGAAUACGGAGCAACGUUUCAGGUGGUUUCUAGACCCUAUCGAGUUGUUAAAAGCUUUGGUGUGAUUUGGUGAUGAGAGGCCAUCACUCGUGUUCAAUUUAUAGGUAUUUAGGGGCUGUGUGGAUGGUUAAAAAGUCCUGAAAGGACAGCGGUAAUGGCUCUCAAAACUAGACAACAAAGUCACACUUUUAGGCGUGAUUUCGAGACAGCAUUGUGAGGUACAAUGCAGCAGUGAGUUGGGAUCUUUUGCAGUCGUUCGAGAGGUGCUUCACGGUCCGAAACUCUCUACAAACAACCACGACAAGUGUUGGUAAGGGCUGCCAAAACAGAUCGAGAACGUGAAGAAAACCAUGAUUGCGAUUUUCAUUUUUCCAUUCAGGUGUUGAACGAAAAAGUGGUUUUCUAAAAUAUAAGUUCUUCAGUAUGAUUUAGAUUUUGGUAAAGGUAAAGAAUACAUAUAUAUUUACAUAUAAUAAAUGACUAGGUUUCCAAGAACAUAAUCCGUUAGAAGUAAGAUUUCCUGUGCAAGUUUUAUGAUCAUUAGCUAAUUUUGGUUAACUAUACCAGUCUUAUAUUUUUUUUAUUAAUUGCUUAGGGGCGAAUAUGUUUCUGAACUUGAAGAGAGGAAUAAUGAGGUAACUCAGUUACGGGUAAAGGUUGAAAGCUUUACUAUGCAAGAGAAUACAUUGGAUGAAAGAAUGAGGUUGCUCUUUCUGUUAUCCAAACUCUUUUUGAAGUCAAGGCAGAAAAGGUCUGUUUAGUGGCGUCAUGGUUUAGACAUGGGUUGGAUGGAAUUACGUGGGGUAUGGUGCUGGAAAAGACAGGUAUUAACUCACGAUGAAGCUGUUGAACUGCAGAAAAUGAUGGUUGUUCUGCUGAAUGUAUGCAUGUCUUUAACUAAGGAUCGCUGUUAAUGGGGUCUUCACUCAUCAACCGAUUGAAUAUAAAAAAAAUUAAGUAGAGACGAUGAAUUCAUCAAGUGAAGUCUCUGAAUUUUGCUUGAUCUAUAUUAUCUCAUAUUUACAUUUGUUGUUGUAGUUUGAGUGAGAAUGUUGUGUGUAGAGAUUCUAAGUGAUAUUACAGAAUUAAACUCUCUUACUU
rnacentral:lncRNA from 1 species